GACGAACGCUGGCGGCGUGCUUAACACAUGCAAGUCGAACGGUAAGGCCCUUUCGGGGGUACACGAGUGGCGAACGGGUGAGUAACACGUGGGUGAUCAGCCCUGCACUUUGGGAUAAGCCUGGGAAACUGGGUCUAAUACCGGAUAGGACUACGCGAUGCAUGUCGUGUGGUGGAAAGCUUUUGCGGUGUGGGCUGGGCCCGGGGGCUAUCGGCUUGUUGGUGGGGUGAUGGCCUACCAAGGCGCCGACGGGUAGCCGGCCUGAGAGGUUGUACGGACACACUGCUCCUGCGAUACGGACCAGACUCCUACGGUAGGCAGCGGUGGGGAACAUUGCACAAUGGGCGCAAGCCUGAUGCAGCGACGCCGCGUUGGUAAUGACGGCCUUCGGGUUGUGAACCCCUUUCAGCAAAGACGAAGCGUAAGUGACGGUAUGUGCAGAAGAAGCACCGGCCAACUACGUG
rnacentral:rRNA from 1 species